rnacentral:sRNA from 1 species
GGAGAAGGAUGAGAAGCUUCGACUAAGGUUCGACUCGAGCGCCAGCGAGAGAGCGUUGCCGCAGGCAACGACCUGAAGGGCGAAGCGCGCAGCGCUGAGUAAUCCUUCCCCCACCACCA